CAAAGGUAAAGCAAUAUCUUAAGUUUAAGGAAACUGAACUUCAUCCACAACACAUUCAGUCAGCAUCUUCACCUUCAAUCUCUGGAGUAGUUAAACCAGGGAAGGUGGAAACUGAAUUAUUUGGAGAGAUCGGUGUCUCUCUUGAUAGAGAACCAAAAGUAAAGAGAUAUAUUCAAUUUAAACAGCCUAUAUCUCACCUUCCAGUUGUGUCACCCACCACUUCAGAUACACUGCAAGUCACAACUGAGGUGAAAACUAAAUCUGAAUCAAAGAGAUCGAGCACUUCUUCUGAGGAUGAUGUCAAAAAAACUGCCGAAGAAGUAGACAAUGUCUUUGGACAAAAAGGAACAUCUCUUGAUAGAGUCCCACGAGUUAGGAGAUACAUUCAAUUCACACAUCCUGAAAUUCAAUCUCCAGCUCAGACAACAACUGGUCUCUCAUCUGAAAGAGUCAAUGUAUCUAUGGUAGCUAAAGAAACAAGGAGAUGGAGCACUUCAUCUGAGGAAGAUAUUAAACCGACUACUAAAAAAGAGAAUAUCACUGAAGAAACAGAUCUUGCCAAAAUCCCAAAAGUAAAGAGGUACAUUAAGUUCACACAAUCUGAACCAUAUUCCUUGAAUCGGUCACCAUUUCUUCCUUUAACCACAGAAAAAUCCAUGAAGGUGACAGAAACCGAACUGAAACAACCAGACACAUCUGAGGAUGAUGUUCAGGAAGACAAUGGCUCUGGGCAAACAGGAGUGUCUCUUAAUAGAGUGCCAAGAGUUAAAAGAUAUAUUCAAUUCACACAUCCUGAAAGUCAAUCCUCUGCUCAGUCAACAUCUACUGUCUCAGCUCAAAGACUUGGAAUAUUGGGGGUAGUUCAAGACACAAGGAGAUCAAGCACUUCAUCUGAGGAAGAUCUCACACUAACUGCUAAGGAAGACAAUUUUGGUGGACAUAUUGGAGCACCUCUUGAUAAAAUACCAAAAGUUAAGCGAUACAUUAAUUUCACACAUCCUGAAAGUUAUUCUCCAGCUCAGACAACAACUGCUCUCUCAGCUGGAAGAGUCAACCUGUCUGUGAUAGCCAAAGAAACUAAGAGACCAAGCUCUUCCUCUGAAGAUGAUGAUAAACCAUCGACUAAUGAUGGCAAUAUCACUGGAGAAACAGGUGAAUCUCUUGACAAAAUCCCAAAAGUAAAGAGGUACAUUGAAUUCAGACAAUAUGAACCUUAUUCCUCAGCAGAGUCAAAACAUCAGUCUUCAAGUGUUGUUAAAUCCAUUAAGGUGACCGCAACAGAAUUAAGGGGAUCCAGCACUUCAGUUGACGAUUAUGUACAACCGGCUACUAAUGGAAACAAAACAGAAUCAACGGCACAGAUCACUUCAUCUGAAAAUCUUGACAGAGUACCAAGAGUUAAGAGAUACAUUCAAUUCACACCUAUUGAAAGUCAAUAUCCUGCUCGGGCACCAACUGCUGUCUUAGAUGACAGAGUUGGAAUAUCUGGGGUAGCUCAAGAAACAAAGAUAUUGAACACUUCAUCAAAAUAUGUUAAACCAUAUGCUACUAAUUAUAAUAUCAUUAGAAAAACAGACACAAAUUUCCCUCAAGAAACUGGAGUCUCUCUUGAUAAAAUCCCAAAUGUAAAGAGGUACAUUGCAUUCACAAAGAGUGGACCACCAUCUUCAACCAAAUUAACAAAAAGAGAUUUAACGCCAACAACAAAUGCAGUCCUAGAAACCACAUGGUCCAGUUUAUCAUCUGAGGUGUCACCUCCUACCUCAAUGAAAAAAAGGUCUGCAUUAAUAAUAAAGGCCGAAUCAGAAUCUACUUACAAGGACAACAUUAUUAAAGGAGAGCUUAUGGACAGUUCAGUGGAGCUGACUGGCCUAAAGUCAAAGUUAAGAAAUUCAAGUUCCUCGUCCAGUGACGAACAAUCUGUAGGACAUGAGGUUGUGGAUGUGGAUGUACCAGCACAAGAUGAGCCACCAGCAGUUCCACAGACAUCCCCACCUCCCCUAGAACAAGAGGAUGCCAGAGAGUAUCUCAGAGAAAAUUCUGAAGUCCAUCAAAGGCAAGAACACAGACGAUUAUUGCAGCAAAGGAGAAGGGAAAUUGAUGAGUUCAACAUUGCAUCCCUAUCCUCCAUGCAACAAGAAGGCGACAAGCAGGACAGAUCAUCGGCAGAUUACGGAGGAGUGACACCAUUCCAAAAAGAACAAACAUACAGCAGUGCAUCUACAAGGAACACAUUAACGUCCAGACGCACAGAAGGAGACAAAGCCCCAGUUUUACAUGGCCUUAAAACUCAGAGUACAUCAACACUCGGUUCAAAGUCACCAGUAAACUCAACUCCAAAGUAUAGG
ensembl:lncRNA